UACGAAGGGUGCAAGCGUUACUCGGAAUUACUGGGCGUAAAGCGUGCGUAGGUGGUCUGUUAAGUCUGUUGUGAAAGCCCCGGGCUCAACCUGGGAAUGGCAAUGGAUACUGGCAGGCUAGAGUGCGGUAGAGGGUAGUGGAAUUCCCGGUGUAGCGGUGAAAUGCGUAGAGAUCGGGAGGAACACCAGUGGCGAAGGCGGCUACCUGGACCAGCACUGACACUGAGGCACGAAAGCGUGGGGAGCAAACAGG
rnacentral:rRNA from 1 species